rnacentral:lncRNA from 1 species
AUGUGGGUCAGGUGGUGUGAACACCUUACGUUGAAGGAAUCACCUGCGUGUGUGAUGGAGGACAGAGCUCCACGUGAAGCCGCUUCAGUCGAGGCUUCGUUGCUUCAGUCGAGGCUUCAAUCGAGGCUUCAGUCGGGCUUCGCCGCUUCAGUCGAGGCUUCAAUCGAGGCUUCAGUGGAGGCUUUGCUCCUUCAGUCGAGGCUUCAGUCGAGGCUUCAGUCGAGGCUUCAGUCGAGGCUUCAGUCGAGGUUCAUUGCUUCAGUCGAGACUUCGCUCCUUCAGUCGAGACUUCGCUCCUUCAGUCGAGACUUCGCUCCUUCAGUCGAGGCUUCAAUCAAGGCUUCAGUCGAGGCUUCAGUCAAGGCUUCGUUGCUUCAGUCGAGGCUUCAGUCGAGGCUUCAGUCGAGGUUCAUUGCUUCAGUCGAGACUUCGCUCCUUCAGUCGAGACUUCGCUCCUUCAGUCGAGGCUUCAGUCGAGGCUUCAGUCGAGGCUUCAAUCGAGGCUUCAGUCGAGGCUUCAGUCAAGGCUUCGUUGCUUCAGUCGAGGCUUCAGUCGAGGCUUCAGUCGAGGCUUCAGUCGAGGCUUCAGUCGAGGCUUCAGUCAAGGCUUCGUUGCUUCAGUCGAGGCUUCAGUCGAGGCUUCAGUCGAGGCUUUGCCUGUCAAAGAGCCUGACGCAGCCGUCGGAGCGGUGCUGGUCCAGCUGGGCGCCCGCGGCGCUUCAAUCAUUCAUCAGCUUCUACAUUUGCCGGCUACUGCAACCCAGAGCGGCGCCGCCGUCUGCUCCAUUUGGGUCAGAGCGAAGCCGCUGUUACAUAAGCAGCAGACGAGCGCUGGGUGGACGCACGCAGGGGAACUCCUCAGCUCUNNNNNNNNNNNNNNNNNNNNNNNNNGAGAGAGAGAGAGAGAGGGACGAGAGAGAGAGAGAGAUGGAUGGAUGGAUGGAGCAGAUGGAUGGAUGGAGGAGGAUGAAAUGUGAUGGAUGGAUGGAUGGGAGGAUGGAUGGAUGGAGGAUGGAUGGAUGGAGGAUGAUGGAGGGAUGGAUGUGGAUGGAUGGAUGGAUGGAUGGAUGGAUGGAUGGAUAUGGAUGGAUGGAUGAAUGA